UCUCCGUAGGUGAACCUGCGGAGGGAUCAUUACUGAGUGAGGGCCUCCCCGGCCCGACCUCCAUCCCUUUGUGAACACAACUUGUUGCUUCGGGGGCGACCCUGACGUUUCGACGGCGAGCGCCCCCGGAGGCCUUCAAACACGGCAUCUUUGCGUCGGAGUUUAAGUAAAUUUAAACAAAACUGUCAACAACGGAUCUCUUGGUUCUGGCAUCGAUGAAGAACGCAGC
rnacentral:misc_RNA from 1 species